UAACCCCCAACUAUUAAAUGAAGAGUUCCUUUCUCCUAUAAAUAAUACGCCACACCAGUAUGGCCAUCACAUCGAACGGAAAAAAAAAAAAAGAAAGAAAAAGAAAAAAAAAACACUCCUCUAUAUUAUCUAAAGCAUAGGAGUAAGAAUGAAGAAGUUUAUGGUAAUGGCGUUGGUAGUGGGUGUGAUGGUUGUGGGGUGCUUUGGUCGACUACAAUCGGAUAUUCAUCUGACUUUGGUACCUGGUAAUGAGCGGUGUAGGGUACCUGGUGAAUAUUGUCAUUGGGCACAAAGCAAGUAUUGUUGUGAAGGACUGUAUUGUGAAGGUGAGUGGGGAUGGGGUGAGAAUCGGAGAUGUGUCGAUGAUCCAUACUGUCUACAAGCUGGUUCUCCUUGCGCUCUUUUGUCAAGUCCCUGCUGCUACCCGAUGCAUUGCAACUCUAGGGAGCGGGGGGGACGUUGUGUUACCCCUGGUUUGGCGCUAGAUGUUCAACAAAACGCCUCAUAAGAUAUAAUUAAUAAAAAAAAGUGCCAUUAGUGCUAAGUCUCACGAAGCAUACUAGCUUGGUGUGGUGUGGUUUGUUUUAGUAAUAAUAGAAAGUGUCCUUGGCGCUGAGUCUCACAAAGCAUGUAGUAGCUUGGUGUGGUGUGGUUUGGUUUGUUUUAGUAAUAAUGAAAAGUGCCCAUUUGUUGUUGCGUA